ensembl:lncRNA
UUAAAACAACCAAACGAUUUAAAUAAUAAAUAUAAUGAUUUUUUCGAAAGACAAAUAAUGUAUAGUUUAUAUUUACAGUCUUUAUUAAACAAUAAAAAUAAUAAUGAUGAUGGUGGUGAUAGUGAUAGUGAUAAUAAUAAUUGCACAACAAUAGAUAAUAAUAAAAAUAUAACAGGUACAGAACAAUUAAUAUUAUAUAAUUAUAAAAAUAUACAAAAUAAGAUGUUAAAAAAGUUACCUGAAUUGAAAAAUUAUUUUUCCUACUUAGAUUAUUAUAUUGAUUCAUUACGAUUGUUAUAUAAUAAAUUAUUAAGUAAUCGUAAUUUAGUAUUUAUGUUAGCAAAAAAAAUAUUUAAAAAACCAAACCUUAAUAAUCAAAAAAGAUAUAAUAACAACGGUAAUAAUAACGAUAACAGGAACAACAAUAGUAACAACUUUAGUUACUAUGAUGAAAGAAAUUCAUAUAUUAGGGAAUUAUUUUCAUUACUUUUACCCCAACCACCUAUGUAUCCACCUAUAACAAGUUGGUUGUAUAUGAAAAAAAAAAUGGCAGCACAACUCCAUAAGCUACAUUUAACAAUAUAUAUUAUUUACCAAAAAAUAAUAUACAAUUUUUCAAAUAUAUUAUUACAAGUAGAUAAUAAUAUAAUGAAUUGUACAAACAAAAAUAAAUUUAAUAAAAAUUGUUCAAAUAACAUCAUAAGUGAUUAUUAUGUUUCUGACAAUGAACAAGGAUUAAACCAAGUAAUUAAUAACGUUUGCAUAGAUAGUACUAUUGGAAGUAGUAAUAAGGUUAUGGGUAGAAGUAGUAGUAGUAUUAACAGUUAUAGUAGUGCUGUUAGUGACUUUAGUAGCAGUAGUAAUAACAAUAAUAACGAUAGUGAUAACAGGAACAACACUGGAAACAGUAAUUUACAAAAAAAUGAAAUAUUAUUGACUCACAACUUAUUAAGCAUGUCAUCAGAAAAAAAUCAAUUAAAAGAAAAUUGUCAUUACAAAGAAGAUGUGAAUUAUUAUAAUAGUCAUAUUAAUGCAUCUAAGAUACCAAUAGUUGAGAUUAAUGAAAAAUUAGAAUAUAUAAUGAAUUCAAUUAAUAGUAUAACUGAAUUAGUAUCCGUACUUAAAAAACCAGAACAUGAUAGUAACAAUAGGGAAAAAAUAAAAAAUAAAAAAAAAAUUUGUGUUUGCGACGAAAUAACAAAUGAAUUUAAUAAUCAGUUACAACUUGUUGAAACUAAGUACGAAAAUGAAAAAAAUGAAAAGGGUGAGAAAAAUGAAAAAGAUGAAGAAGAUGAAACAAAUGAAAAAAAAGAGUGUCAACAGCUCGUUACUGAUAGGAGUGACAAUGGUAAUAGUAACUGUGGUAGUAAGGAUGAUUGUAAUGGUACCAGCAACAGUGCCGUGUGGAAAUGUGAAAAAAAGGUAGAAGAUAUAGAUUACGAAAACAAUGAAAUUAAUGGAAUUAAUGAAAUUAAUGAAAAUAAUGAAAAUAAUAAUAACAGUAAUAGUAAUAGUAACAACUCCUUUUAUUCAUCAAAUGCAAACAUACUAACAGUAGAAACUUCCAGUGCAAAUUCCGAAAUAAAUAAAAAUGAUGAUGUAAUGAACAAGCAAAUUGUUAAAUACGAUAGUAGUUAUAGUAGCUAUGACAGUAACGACAGUAACGACAAUUAUAGCAACAUAAAUAGGAACACUAAUAGAUAUAGUAUCAAAAAUAGUAAUAAUAACGAUAGUCAUAAUAACGGUAAUAAUGACAGCGUUAAAAACAGUAGUAGUAGUAGUAGUAGGAAUAAUAAUUUUUUUUUAAAAAAUAUAUGUAAUUUAAAUAAUAACUUUAUAAGCGAAGAAAAAUCGUUAGAAGUAUUAGAUAAAAUAAAAUACGAAUUAAAAAAAAUAUAUCAUGAAAUGUUAACUUUAAAUAAAUAUGAAAGAUAUAUAUCACAAUCUAAUAAUAAUAAACUAAAUCGUUUUUUAGAAUUAAUUAAUGAUCAAGAAAACAAUUCUAAUUCAUUAUCAUGUAUUGAAGCUGAUUCUAGUCAUACAUCAUUACCAUAUAUAAAGCAAAGUUCUUUGAGUAAUACAAAUUUAGACCUUGAUUCUUUUAUAGAUAUUUCAUUCAACAAUAUUAGAUAUAGUGAUGGUAAAGAGGAUAGCAUACUCAAAAGUGCAAUAAGACGUUGUAAUACCAGUAAUAAUAAUAUCAUAAGUACCAACGAUAGUCGUAACAAUAGAGACAACAUAUUUCUUUAUAAUUGUUUGUUAAAUAAUACUAAUUUUAUUGAUAAACAACAUGAAAUACAUGAUGUUUUAUAUCCAAAUAGUAUAAACGACAGCAAUAACAAUAGUAAUAAUAAUAUAAGUACAAACUAUAUUCCCGGAAAUAAUAUACUUUAUGAUAUUAAGUAUACAAGCGAUAUUAUGCAAAAACAAUUAAUGCUUUCAAAUAAAAUUUAUAAUGAUUUAUUAAAAAAAUAUAAUGAUCAUCAUGAUAUAGAUAAGUCAUAUAAUGAUAGUAUAGUAAAGUUAGAAAAUGUUGAUGAAUUUGAGAAAAUUAAUGAAAAAAAUGAAACAUGUCCCUAUAAGGAAAUAAUUCCAUCAAAUGAAUGUUUACUUGGUCAAACCGAGAGGUAUAAUGAUAAUAUUGGUAGUAGUAGUAGUAGUAGUAGUAGUAGUAGUAGUAGUAGCAGCAGCAGUCGUAAUAAUAACGACAUCACCAACAAAAUUGUAGAAAAUAACAAUUUGAAUAAACAAACUAGUACUAUUCCUUUAUUCUUAUCAUCAAAUAACAUUAAAAAUAAUAUCAUUUCAAACAAUCAAAAGAUAUAUAAUAAUAGUGAAAAAUAUACAGAUCAUAAUAAUAUACUACAAAAGAAUGAAUACUACAAUCUUAAUGUUAAUAAAAUUAGUGAAGAAAAUAAUUAUGAAAUUUUUCAUUUAAAUAAUGAAAAUAAGCAGGAUAAAGAAAAUAUAUCUGCAUUAGUUCUUUCAAAUAAUGGUAGUAAUAAUGGUAGUAAUAAUGGUAGUAAUAAUGGUAAUUAUAAUGGUAAUAAUAAUGGUAAUAAUAAUGGUAAUUAUAAUGGUAAUAAUAAUGGCUGUAAUAAUGAGAACUUCACUUUUUUUUUUAACAGUGGUUGCAAUAAUAACAGUAAUGGUCUACAUUGCAAUGAAUUUAAUAAUUAUAGUGAAUAUCCAUUAACUAAUCAAAUGGAUAAUAAAGGUAGUAAUACAAAUGGUACUCCACAUCCUGGUAGUAUCAAUGAUACUACUCUUUCAAAUGAUAAAAAAAAUAAUACUACUUAUACCGGCACAAAUAUUGACAAUUAUUGUUUAUAUAAUAGUGACAAUACACGUAAUAAUAAUGAUGGUGAUAUGUUUUAUUCAGGUAACAUGAAUUCAUACAUAUACAACUAUAACCCAAAUGAAGAAACAUCAAGAAAAAUGUAUUAUAUUCAUAAUAAUAAUAAUAACAAUAAUAAUAAUAAUAAUAAUUAUUUACAUAAUGAACAUAACUCUAAUAUAAAUAAUAAUGUUUAUAAUAUUUUAAAUUACGAACAAUAUAAUAAUUAUUAUUCUAAUUCAAACAAUAUAACAUCUGAUUGUAUAAACCAAGAAAAUGUAAUAAAUAAUAAUUCAUAUAAUAACGGAUUACAUAAUAAUGAAUUGUAUAUUUGUGAUAUGAGUGGAAAUAAAAACAUAUCUGUAGGAGGAUAUAAUAGAAACAAAUAUAAUAUGAUAAAUAAAGAUACUAAUAAUGAUAAUGAUACUGAUAAUGAUACUAAUAAUGAUGCUAAUAAUGAUAAUGAUACUAAUAAUGGAAGAGAAGGAACAAUAAUACUACAUAACAGAUUAAUAAAUAAUUACACAUUAAAUAAUGACAAUGAUAGUAAAACAUUAAUAGAAAAUUAUCAUAGUAAUAAUAAUAUGGAUAAUAAUAAUAUGGAUAAACAUUUAUUAAUUAACAAUACACUUGUUAAUAAUAAUUUGAUAGAAAAUAAAACAAUAUAUGAUGGAAAAAAAAUAUACGACGUGAUAGAUGGUAACAAUAUAGUUGGUCAUAAUACAAUAGGCAGUAAUAUAAUUUACAUUCAAAAUAAUAACAGUAAUAAUAAUAAUAAUAAUGAUGAAAAUGGUAACGACCAACAUAUAACCCGAUGUGAUGACUAUUAUAAUGAUUAUUCUACGUGCAAUAAACAACAGAAUAUACAAGAACCUCUUUUAGAAAGCGAGGUAAAAAAGAGAACUUAUAAUAACAGUGUUACAACCAAUAAAAAUAUUAUAAAAGAAAAAAAUGAUAGCAUUAUAAAAAAUAAAAUUGUGAAUUGUGGCGAAAAUAAUAAUAAUAAUAAUAUUAAUAAUAAUAAUAAUAAUAAUAAUAAUAAUGAAGUUGAAGAACAAUUUGAAAUUUCAAAUAUGCGUAAAGACUAUACUGUGUUGAGUGAACAACAUACACAUACAAAUGAAUCACCAGAUGAACAGAACGAUUUGAAAAAAAAUAGACACAAUAGUUGUAAUAGUAACAACACCGAUAGUGAUAGUGUCAAUAAUAAUACAACAGAAAAUAAUAAUACCAACUGCGAUUCAGGAAAUAGCAAUAUUAAUGAUUUAAAUAAACUAAAAUUAAAAAAGAUGUUAGAAAUAACAGGAAAAUUGAUUCGAAAAAAAUAUAGAGGUAUAUCUUAUGAUCCAACUCGAAAAGGGUGGUCAACGUUUGUAUAUAAAAAUGGAGUAAGACAUAAAAAGUUUUUUUCAGCUUUAAAAUAUGGUAAUUUAUUAGCAAAAAAAAAAUCAAUUGAAUGGAGAUUGAAAAAUUUAGAACCUAAUUCACAUGCGUAUGUCUUUUCAUUACAAGCAAAAAAUGAAUUUAAUGCCAUUUUAAAUGAUGACCAUGUAUAUAGUACAGAUUCAGAAGAUAACGAUUAUUGUAAUAAUGGAUCAUGGGGGGAUAGACUUACUAAUAAAUCAAAUAGAGAUAUACUUUAUGUUAACGCUUUUUUAAACAUGUUUAAUGAGCAAAAUAAAAAAAUAGAGUUACCUUAUAAUGGCGAAACUGGUAGUACCACUAUAGAUGGUAGUAUUGAUCAUAGUGGACAUACUAAUACACACAACUCUCAAAAUAAAAGUUUCAAAAAUGAUACAGAUGACAAAAACAAUACAGACAAAAAAAACAACAGAAACAGUCGAAGCAACCGAAACAACAGAAACAAUAGAAACAAAAAAAACGAACAAAUAAACUCGGAAAAAAAUCUUGAAUCGAGUGAGGAAAAGUUUUAUACGUACAUUGCAGAUAAUAUAACACAAGAUGACAACAAUCGUGUAGGAUUUGCAUUGGAAAGUUGUAAGUAUGGUAAUAAUAAAAUAGGUAGUAGUAAUAGUUGUACUACAAAUAAAAGUAGCGAUAAUGAUAACGAAAUUAAUUCGAAAAUUAGUAAUACUAAUACUUCUUAUAACAAUAAUACUUCUUAUAAUAAUACUUCUUAUAAUAACAAUAAUAAUAAUAACAAUAAUAAUAAUAACAAUAAUAAUAAUAACAAUAAUAAUAAUAANNNNNNNNNNAACAAUAAUAAUAAUAACAAUAAUAAUAAUAACAAUAAUAAUAAUAAUAACAAUAAUAAUAAUAAUAACAAUAAUAAUAAUAACAAUAAUAAUAACAAUAAUAAUAAUAAUAAUAAUAACAAUAAUAAUAAUAAUAAUAAUAAUAAUAAUAAUAAUAAUAAUAAUAAUAAUAAUAAUAUUAUUAGCGGGGUUGAAAAAGUUGCCCAAGUUGAAACAGAAACAGAGACGGAGACUUCAAAAGCGUACUGUAUAAACAACAGUAAUGGAGAUAAGAACAAAAACAUGGAUGAAAAUAACAGCUGUGACAACGACAUGUUUAUUAAUAACAAUAAUAAUAACAAUAAUAAUAACAAUAAUAAUAACAAUAACAAUAACAAUAACAAUAACAAUAACAAUAACAAUAAUAAUAAUAGUAAAUGGAAUAACGAAGAAAUAUCAUUCUCAAGAAAUAACAAUUUUAUUAAUUUAUCUGAACGCACAUUUGAAAAAAUCGAAGCGGAAAAAACCGAAGCAGAAAAAACCGAAGCAGAAAAAAUAAAAACUGAUGUAUAUAAUAUGGGUUGU